rnacentral:lncRNA from 12 species
GUUUUGAGAUAAAAAUUUACUGUUCUUCAUAAAGGUUACACAAUAGUUUUCUUAACCAUCUCUUUGAUUUAAAUUUUUUAGUUUGCUUCAAAUUUUUCACUUGUAGAUUGUGCUGAAACGAAAACCAUUGCAGGUAAGAUAUUCUGUGUAGUUAAUCAUUCUAUAUCUCAGUCCCAUUUAGAUGGCACUUUUAACCACUGGUAAUGAUAAGGAUCUUGAAUCUUACAAAAAAUCAUCCCAGGUACAAAAGCAUACACAAAAAAUGUCAUUCAAUGUUCCAAACAUUGUAUAUAAAAUUUUAGUCUUCUGUCUUUUGGGACCCCAUUAAUAUUAUAAAUUAAAAGGAAAAUCAUCAUUCAUACCUUACAUGUAUUUAGUGAUUUACAGUAGAAUGUUUGCUUUUUUUUUUUUUUAAUUAUUCCAUAGUGUUAUUUUUUUUGCUAGUAAGAUUUAAAAAGAAAGUUUGGUGACUAAGAGAAAAACAGAGGUAAGAAGCUAGCUAAUAAAGAAGAAAUAACAGAGUUCUGAUACAUUGAGUGAAAUAAUAAAGAGAAUAAAAUAGGUUACAGAUAAUAUACAAGCAAUACCUUACCUUUAUUUACGUACACUUUCAAAAGACCUUUCAGGUGUCAUUCUGUUCUUUACAAUAACUGAUUGUGAUGUCAUCACCAUUUUAUAGGCUAGAAAAGAGACUCAGAGGUACAGAGCUCCUAUGUAGAAAAUAUGGGACAAUUACUCAUCUUUUUUUCUGAAACAUCAAGUAUGUUUUUUGUCUUCCCUCUCUUUUCUCCCUUCAUAAGAAGAUUGGACUUUUUUCUUCUGGUUGGUAGUUAGAUGACCUGUAGAUCAUUUGAGAUUCAGAAGAGUCAGUAGCUAGAAACAUUUUGGCAAGAGGGAUCACAUGCUGUGUGCAGUCAAAGCUUCAGUGACUACCAUUUUCAUUUUCAUGGACUAUUGGACAUUCAUCUCCUGCUAUGGCACCUCAAAUCUUGUGAAUGGUCUGCAAGAGAGCUCCUUGGUGAAGAGUGAAAAGUGGCAUGCUCAAUACUAUGGGAGACUGUUCACUGAUUAUCUGCUGAACCCUGAAAGUGUAUUUGAAUUAGCCCUCAAAAUGUAUUGCACAGAAAAGGUGUUUCCUGUUCAUAAAAAGCUUUGAUAUCCAAGAGGGAACUACUACCUAUACCACAUAAUGCAACACUUUUGUCCAUUUUCUCCUCACUUGGCUCAUUCUACAACUUGCCUGAAUGAGUAAGGUACCCCACCAGAGCUGUGGGUUAGAGAAAGGAAGACAAAAAAAAGAAUAAAAGAAGUAGAAGAAUAGAUCA